UCAGAGGCGAUGAAGGACGUGCUAAUCUGCGAAAAGCGUCGGUAAGGUGAUAUGAACCCUUGACCCGUCGAUGUCCGAAUGGGGAAACCCAGUGCAAUUCGUUGCACUAUCGUUAACUGAAUACAUAGGUUAACGAGGCGAACCGGGGGAACUGAAACAUCUAAGUACCCCGAGGAAAAGAAAUCAACCGAGAUUCCCCCAGUAGCGGCGAGCGAACGGGGAGCAGCCCAGAGUCUGAAUCAGCUUGUGUGUUAGUGGAACGGUCUGGAAAGUCCGACGGUACAGGGUGAUAGUCCCGUACACCAAA
rnacentral:rRNA from 1 species